UAACAACUUCAUUUUCUGCUCACACAGAUCUUGCCCUUGUGGGAGGCUGUUCUCCACCUGGAUUGGCUCUCUCAGGAUCACAUGGCCUUUCAAGGAUAAUGGAGUUUCCUUGGGAGAAUACAUAAUCAAAGCACUCCUGACAGAUGGGUAUCUGACCUUUGUUUUAAAACCUCCAAAGAAGAGGAGUCUGUUUGAAUUCCCCGAAGAAGAAGAUUCUACCAAAAUAGAUCCUUCUGCUCUGAGGAAGAAUAUAUUGGCAUGUGCACAGCAAAGAAUAUGACAGAAGGUACAAAGAUGGCGUGAAGAGAAAACACCAAAAAGGGGUUUGACAACACUGUUCUCAGUUAAAAGUAUUUAUUCCACAGUCCCUGGCUAAAGUAAGAGCAGCAGACAGCACUGAAGCCUUCUGUCCAAAGUGAACAAAGAAAGUGAAAGGUGCAGUGGGCACUUCAUUCUGUCUCAUCUUCCUUUGGGUCUGAUGGAAUGGAGCCCUGUGAAAGUAAGCUCACUCUUAACCUACAAAAGGAUUGCAAUUUCAUUGUAAAUAUAAGAUAAAACCAUCCCUGAUGCAGCCGGGAGAGGAGGGAGGGAAUCUAAUAAUGCCAUUUGCUCACAACACCCACUAUCACAGCAACAGCGAAGAGACUGUCAGCAUUUCUAUUACAGUGCCAUAUUUCAGAAGCUUAUAGCCAGGCCAUGAAAAGAUGCUCUGAAAAUUGAAUCCAGAACACAGGUUGUCUUUUGCUGUGACUUAUAUAUUACUUUGAGACCUGCAAGACUGGAUACUGCAAACAUGAAAUGCCAAUUGUAAACAAGGCACAGUUAAAUCAUAACAGGUGCAUUGGUGUCACAAGGUUGAAUGGUUGAUCUUUCCUUCAUGAUCUAUUUUCUCUAGUUUUAAUAUCAGAUUAUCAGAACAGUGAAGGGGUGUGAGGAUAGGAGAAACACACACUUCGCAGACAAUAUCAUGAUGGCUCACACUGUUCUUCUUAGUUCCUUCCUAGGACUGAAAUGAAAAGGCAUGCAAUUUGAAAAUGGAUAUCUAAAGCUAUCUACUUUUAUCUGAAAGUCAUUUCCCAACAUUUCAUUACAUUUCUAGCUGACGUACAAAGAAAUAAAACUUAAGCAGGCUAUGCAAAUACUGAUGAUAGCUUGGUUACUUCUGCUGAAUUUUAAAAGGUAGGCAGAGUCAGUGCAAGACAUUUUGUUGCCUGGGGCAGAACAGGGAAUGUCAUCAUGUUCUCUAACCCACAUACAGUGGGUUGAACCCUUGUGCCAGCAGGACUGAUGACUUGAAAGUUGGGUUGCUGACCUGAAGGUUACUGGUUUGAAUCCAACCUGGGGAGAGAGCAGAUGAGCUCCCUCUAUUAGCUACAGCUCCAUGCGGGGACAUGAGAGAAGCCUCCCACAAGGAUGGUAAACACACCUAAACUUCUGGGCAUCUCCUGGGCAACGUCCUUGCAGAUGGUCAAUUCUCUCAUACCAGAAGCAACUUGCAGUUUCUCAAGUCGCUCCUGACAUGAAAAAACUCAAGAUACAUAGUGAUCAGUGGGAGCUUCAUUAUUAGGACAGCCACGAAUCUGUUCAGAAAUUUAGUGUAAAUUUUAAAAGAACCGUCCAAGGUACUAAGCUCCAUUCCUUUACUGUUCAGAUUAACUGUCUUCUCAUACAGAGUAAUUUUCAGUGGCAUACACCAGUUCCUUUCUAUUUUCACCAUGAAGCCUGCCAGCAUCCAUCCCACAAUGCAGAGCUAUUUCUUGGGUUGUGGGGGGGGGGGGAAUGCUCCAUUGCGGAAAUGGAGAGGAACUGGCACAUACCUCCACCACAGCAAUACGGGACACUUCUUAUGUUGCAUAGGUAACAAUGAGGGGAAGGUGGGUGGUGAACAUUUCUCUCUGUGGGAUUAGGUAAGUGGGAAGCCAGGCAAUGCAGGACAUGGGGCGACAGCUUCCCCAUGCCCCAUGCCAGAUUCACCACAAUGUGUGGCAAUUCCGGUGGCUCAUGUGAUAAGGUCAUUAGACUCACUAAUCCCUCAUGCAGAAACCACCAAGCAUCAUUGCAUAGUACCCAAUGUGGGUCAAGUUAUGUAUUCACUUAAGACAGAAAAUUCCAAAUAUGCUUCUCCAGAGGAGUAGAAAUACAAUCAUUAAAUUAAAUAACUAACAAUUCCUGCCAUUUUAUGAUACUCUAAACCAGCUUUUUCACUAUGUGCAAUAGCAGGACAGGUUCUGGAGUAAACCCUGGUUAUAUGUGCCAAAGACUGAAGAGGUGGGAUGGACUCAACCACUACAAACUGUAAGUAGGCAGCUAAAUUUUGGUGCAUUCCUGCCUAUAAGUCAGAAAGCUAACAUAGCAAGCAAAAAUCUUGCUAAUCUUUUUCUUGCUGACAUUCUAGCUUUUUCCAAAUGGUAUGUGUGGAUGGGUGGGUGGGUGAAAGAGUAUAAUAGCAAUACGCCUCAACUGCAAUCUUAAGUGCUAGCAAUCUGGUCUUACACCUCAGUAAUCUAAGGAACAAACUAAGGGACAAACUGUGAAGACCUUUAAUAUCUUUUGUUUUUACUUUAAGAAUAGCAGUCACAGCAAGAUUAGACUUGCUGUCAAUGGCAGCUUCUGUCUAGGAAAAAAUGAAAAUGUUGAUGGUGGGGUUUUUGUUGUGGCUGUAGCAAAGGGAGGAAAUUUAAUUCAUUUCCUUCUUUAUUAUAGUGAAAUUUCUUAACUCCUACAAUAGUUGCUAUUUUAAAGUAAAGGUAUGGUAACUUUAAACACAUUCACACAUUUAAUCUAUUGUCUUGUUUGAAUCUGACACUUCCUUAGGACAUCAUUCUAUGGCAUAGAUUUAAGCCCACCCUAAAUAAUCAGAAAAUAAGGUACAUAUGGGAUACUUCCAUACAUUCAGGCCCUCAGAGAAAGGUUUUAUCCCAUUCCAAUGAAUACUGUCACUGUGUUCUGCUUUUUUCCUUUUAUGUUGCGGUCUUUGGCCAUAAUAAAAUUGAUCAAUCAGUAAAACUAGGUGAAAUACAUAUUCAUUUCUCAAGAACCGUUUAAGGAGUGGUGUGAAUUCAUUGCCUAGUGCGCCUGCUACUUUUUAAACCACAUCAACAUGCAGACCAUGUUUGAAGACAACAGGAACACAAUGGACAACACAAUGGAAAGCAUACAGAACAGUACAAAUCUUAUUGAGGCGCAGUUCAUAUAUGAUAUUUCUGAAACUCCUGGAUGCUUCCCUGGAACCUGAUCCUGGUUGUACCUUAAAUAGGGUUUUAUUUUCCUAUUUACUUUGCCUGCCUGAGGGGAUUUUCUCUCAGCAGGACACAAGAUUAGUUUCCCAGGUUUCCCAAACCCCAAUGGUUUCACAAGCACAUACCUAACGUUAUAUGGUUUUACAAUUCUUGUGGGUGUGCUGGAUCCUAUCUGUUGCUGCCCCUGCCAGAGCACCCAAGUUCCAGUUACUAUAACAAUAUAUAGGACUUGUUCUUGUUUCACCAGAAAUCUUAUCAAUGAAUCUAGUUAUUGGGGAAUAAUUAGUUAUGUGGAACUCUCUGGGUGAGGGGGUUGAGGAUUAACCCAUUGUUUGAGGGACUCUUCAACCUCCCCAGGAUUCUUGAGCUUAGCAGAUGACUGAUUCAAUCCUUUCAGGAAUUUCCAAGCUUUGGGUGGUUUUGAAAAGAAACUGUUGUGAAAGACUGAGACAUUGUUCCUUUGCAUCUGUGCAAGUCUGUGUGUGUUAUAUAUAUAUAUGAUAUAUCGUGUUAAAUUCAUUCUUUGGGGGAGGGGGGGGUCGAUUUCUUGAUCACAAUUUGAUAAGAUGAUGAAUGGUCAAAUCCACUAUGGGAAUGACUGCAUAUUGACUAUGCAAACCUUUUCAUGGGCACCAUAAUGCUAAUGCUGAUGGAUGUACAUUACAAGUGGUUGAAGGCUUUUUGGUCAACAUAACUAUCUCUUACUUUUCAUUACUGUGUCUAUAACUUCCACAUUUAUGAGCAAGCUGUUUAAAGAGUUCCUUAAGGUCAUUGUCCAAUGGGGACCUACUUCUGUAUUCUAGUACUGCUGGAAAUACAAAAUGAGAGGAGAAGGGCCUUCCCAAAAGUGGUACCCGGAUUGUGGAAUAUCCUCCCCUUGGAGGUCCAAAUGGUGGCAACAUUGGCUUCUUUCUGGUGCCAUGUUAAAACUGUAAUUGAACUGCAACUUUCUUUUUUGGAACACUAUUGCCUUUUUUCUUACAAGUCGACAAUAAGCCCUAUUUAGAUCAAUGAUCCAUCCCAGCUCACUAUUAUAUCUCUGUAGGUGACCUCAUUUGGCGUCUUCAGCAGAAAGGGUAUAAUGCCCUAUUAAACAUUAUCCCAUUUACUGCUGUGUUGACCAACUUUUAACACCUGAAGACACAUUCAUGUUAGCAUACAUUACAAUAGAAAAUCCAAUGGCAAGUUCAUGAUGAAGGAAGUGAAAUUGAAUGGAAGAAUUCUUUCUUACAUAAUUUUACAUAUUAUAUGAACAAAUUGCAAGAAAUCCAGGUUGUAAGUUAUCCAAAAGACCGUAUUAUGGACUAUUAUGAUCUUCUCCCAGUAAAAUAUAUAACUAACUGCAGAACUGCUUUUAUUUUAAUAAAGAUAAAUUCUGUGAUAAUUUUAUAUAUAUACUAAUGGGUUAAAUCCUUAUGCCAUUGAACUGCUGACCAGAAGGUUGGUGGUUUGAAUCCGCUAGUCAGAGUGAGCUUCCAUCUGUAAGCUCCAUCUCCUGUCAACCUAGCAGUUCAAAAACAUGAAAACGUGAGCAGAUAAAUAGAUACCAUUUCGGUGGGAAAAGGCAGAGAGGCUCCAAGCAAUCUUGCUUGCCACACAACCAGGAAGUAACAACACAGGCUCCUCGGCUUGAAAAUGGAGAAAAAAGCACCUUCCCAGAGCCAGCAAUGAGUACUACCUCCAGAAACCGGAAAUGAAAGGAGAAGCCUCUGCCUUUGAUUGUGUUUGUCUGCCCCACUGUAUAUGAUUGUUAAGGCAUUCAAUGUUUGCCUAUGUAUGUAAAUGCUGUAAUCCACUCUGAGUCCCCUAGGGGAGAAGGGCGAAAUAUAUAUAAAGCGUAUUAUUAUUAUUGUAUUGAUGCUGAAAAUUAUAGUACAAUUCUUUUAAAAAUGAAACAAUUCCUGAAUCCAAUCCAGAAGGUCAGAAUGCAUUAUAUUGUGUAUGAAGGAGAGACAAAGUUUCUGUUUCUGAGUAGUUAGAGGAUGAUUUACUAACAUUCCAACUGCUCAGGAUUGGAGGAGUGACUAACUCCAUAUGUUUUCAGAGAAGGUGUAGUUGUCAAUGCUUCUGUAAUGAGGUUGUUUUUGGACAAGAAUGGCUUUGUGGGUGCAGAUAAUAGAACUAAGGAAGUAGGGAAAGAAGACCUGGGUGGCUGAAAGGUGAAUGUAGAGUAGGCAACAAACUGUUUCUUAAUAAAUGGAAAAGACAGGUGAAGAGGGAGAAGUUAGAAGUUUAAAAAAGACAGGGAGCUGAGACAGGAUGUGAGGGAUAGAGCUCUGGAGGAAGAUGGCAAUAAAGGAAGCCCAGUGAGCACUGGUCAAGUUGUGUACUUGUUAGGGGAAAGACACAGGAUAAGGGCAAAAUACAGCUUUGCUUUUAAAAAAUGAAACAAAAUAGAUAGUGGGUUGAUGAACACAUACUCGAGGAAACAGUCUUGGAGUUGGUAGUCAAGUAGUAAUAAUAAUAAUAAUAAUAACUUUAUUUUUAUACCCCGCCUCUAUCUCCCCAAAGGGGACUCAGGGCGGCUUACAUGGGGCCAAGCCUGAAUAAAAACAGUAGCAGUAUAAAACACAGCAAUAGACAAAAACAUGCACAAUUAAAAAAAAAUUAAACAUUAGCCAAUAAAAAACAAGAACUAAUAAAAACAUGGAUUAAAACUGAGAUUGUAAAAGUAGACUGGGUAAGGUGCAGCAUAUAAAUAUUGUAAACACGAGGUGACUGAUAAAGUGCUGCAAAUUCUUGGAAGUGCAAAUUGGGAUGGGAAUAGACCCUGUGUCUAUAUCGAGUUGACAAAGGUAAAAAGUGCAAACCGGUACAAGAAUGGUCACAGAUACAGAUUGCUUCUGGAUUAGCAAUCUUUAUCUAAAGGCCUGAAUAAAGAGCCAGGUUUUCAAGCUCUUCCUGAAUGCUACCAGGGUGGGGGCUUGCCUGAUUUCCCUGGGGAGCGAGUUCCAGAGCCGGGGGGCCACCACGGAGAAGGCCCUCUCUCUCGUCCCCACCAACCGUGCUUGUGACGGAGGUGGGAGCGAGAGGAGGGCCUCCCCCGACGAACGAAGAGAUCGUGCAGGUUCGUAGGGGGAGAGGUGAUCACUAAGGUAGGAGGGUCCCAAACCGUUCAGGGCUUUGUAGGUGAUCACUUGCACCUUGAAUUGGGUCCAGAAGGUGAACUGCAGCCAGUGGAGCUCCUUAAGCAGGAGGGUUGACCGCUCCCUAUAAUUUGCUCCAGUUAGAAGCAAGGCUGCCGAACGUUGAACUAGUUGGAGUUUCCGGGCCGUCUUCAAGGGCAGCCCCACGUAGAGUGCAUUGCAAUAGUCCAGUCUAGAGGUAACUAAGGCAUGGACCACCGUGGCCAGAUCAGACUUCACGAGGUAAGGUCGCAGUUGGCGCACAAGUUUUAAUUAGUAGAUAAAUCUAAAGCAAAUCUUCAUGUACAGACUAGAUAAGGUAUGCAGACUUUGGUGGAAUAUAGAAUUGAAAAGUACAGAAUUGGUAAAUACCAUCUGUUGUAAUGCUUUGGGUGUGUAUUUCUGCAUGGCAAAAGGUUGGACGAGAUGGUCCUUAUGGUCUCUUCCAACUUUUUGAUUCUAUGAAGAGCGAAAGUCUGCUUUCGGUUUCUGCAGUACUAUGAGUAGGCAAUCCUCAUCAGAAGCUAUGCAGGUUUGCAGGUAAGUGCAUUUUCCAAAGUAAUGUUGCCAAGACAGUCACUUUAGGUGCCUUAUCACAUGGGUUCUAGGGGGAGAAUAGAAAUGAAUCUGUCCCUCAAAGAACUGAGUUUAAGACUACAGGCCUUUCUUCCUUGAGCUAUAAAAAUUUGCCUUGUGAAAAGCUAAUUUGAAUUAAUAUCCUUAAGCAUGUAAGACCCAUCUACCUACAUAUCAGGGCCUGAUUUAUCUGUCAAUUCCAAUAGAUUCAAUACAACUUACAGUGAUAAUGCUGCCCUCUGCCCCCCCCCCCCCCCGGCUCCAUCUUAUAGCCGCAUGGCAUCUGUAACUAUUUGCUUCAAAGCACAAGUUGAGCCCAAUGAAGAGUUAUGUGAUAAAACAUAUACAGCUUUGACUAUUUGACUGUCAGGUCUGCUCUGGCUGUCAGCCAAGGUCUGAGGCAAGACUCUUAACUUAGAGACACCAGGCAGAAUGUGACACCUUCUGCACGCAAAAUACAAAACCUACUACAGCUCUUCCCCAUUCUAAUUCAGGACUAAAUUAAUUCUCUGAAGGUUACAAUGAAAACUCCCUACUUGUGCACUCACUGAGAUGUGGUUGUUUUUAUUAGGCUGCUGUAUAGACAAAAAUAUCCUUUGCAAGUUGUAGGUGCUAUAUUUUGAACUUUAAAAUGAGAAUUACAAAAUUAUGGAAGAUGCUGUGCAAUGUAAUUUUUCUGGGUUAACAGUACGAAUCAAAAUGAUGGGUGUUCUAAGGGAAAGCUGCAACUGCUUAGUAUUAACAUUUAAAGAGAAAUUCAAUGUGCUUUAGUGGAUUGCUAUUCUAGUCCCAUAUAAUUUUAACAAAUGAUUAUUUCCGUUUAAUCUGCAUUGUAAAGCAUCUUGCUGAAAGGUUAAAUAACACUUAUUCUUCCAGUUUAUACUACAUUCAAAUCACACUGAGUAUAAAUGUUGGUGUAGCUUUGUUUAACACGUUAAAAUUAGAGCUACAUGCUAAUGGUUUUAUCAAUAUUUUCUAUUUUGUUUCUGGACACAAUAGAUACGAGUGGAAAGGCAAUUUCAUCAGAUUUCUCAAGGGAAAUGUGAAACUGUGGCACUUUCACAAAUAUUGGGGACAUGGGCUGGAUCUACACUGCCAUACGAUCCAGUUUCAGAAUGCAGUUUAACAUCAUUAAACUGGAUUGUAUGAGUCUACACUGUCAUACAUAGUUCAAUGCAAUUAAUAUGCAUUCUGAAACUGGAUUAUAUGGCAGAGCAGAUCAAGCCUUUGUUCAGAGGCGGUCCACCAGCGAGGCCAUUUAGAUGGUCACCUGUGGUGCAAUCCUUCCGGGGUCACAGUUGAGGCCCCCGGGAGGAUGGCGCCCCCUCCCCCACCGUCUCCUUCUUCAGGCCUUGCGGGCCUUCUUCGGGCCGCCCGGCCCACCGGAAGGCCUGACGUGGGCGACGGAAGGCCCAGCGCAGGCUCUGGAAGCCCGCGUCAGGCCUUCCGGUGGGCUGGGCAGGCCUUCCGGAGCCCGCGCCAGGCCUUCCAGAGCCCGUGUCGGGCACUCUGGAGCCCGCGUCAGGUACUCCGGAGCCUGCUGCUGUCUGUUGGAAGCGCAACCCACACAAAAUCACCCAGUGGACUUCCAUGCCAGAGAAGGGGUCAAACCCUGGCCUCUAUAAUUGUAAUCCAGCAUUACUAGCAAUAAGUAUAAUGCCCAACUUCUCCCUAGAUAAACUGAUGUUCUCAAUUUUCUUCUUCAACAGUUUCACUUGUCAGCUUUUUGGCUUCCACUACUCUUAUUUUCUUGGCAGGUAGCUGUGUUCACUACUCUUCUGUUGUCUCUACCUUUUUCUGAAGCCUGCAGCCACCUGAAUGAACAAGCUCUCUUUAGCCUUUGGCUGAGAAGGGUCCCUGACAGCAUGAACACUCAGCAGUAUGAGCUACCACAGUAGUAGCAGAAGUCUAAAGAUUGGCUGAGCUGUAACUGUGACAAAAUCCCUUCAUAAUUGGAAGAUUUACCUUUUCAUUUUGGCCCAGUGAAAUUAGAACAGCUCCCUCACUCCUGUCCUUCAAAAAGAAAGUGAAGACAUGGAUGUGGGACAUAGCCUUUGGACAAUAAACUGCAAUGCAACAAGUAACUAUGGGGUAGUGCAAUUUAGGAUUGGAAUGGCUCCUGGAAUAUGCCUUUGGACUGCAUGGUUUUUAAGCAUUGGUUUUAAGGUUAUGUUUUAAUUUUUGAUUUCAAUGUAUAUGUGUUGUUUUUAUCCUAUUAUGUAUAUACGGCAUCGAACUAUGCAUGUGAGCCACCCUAAGUCCCCUUCAGGGUGAGAAGGAUGGUAUAUAAAUGAAUAAAUAAAAAAAAAUAUGGGACAUGGCUCAAAAUGUGCAGCAAAAACAUGGUCAAAAUAACACACAAUCACACAUCUUAGCCUUUGAUUCAAAGAAAGCAUUUCAGGUUUUGUCUAAGAAAGACGUUUUUCUGUCCACAGUCUCGUAUGUGCCUGAGUGUCAGACCCAAGGCAGCGGGGCACCAAGAACCAUACACGGAGGCCAAUUUCUAUCUAAUAUCUUUAUUAAGUAAAUAUAUAAAAGUAAUAAAAACAAGUGAAGAAUAUAGUUCAGAAGCAGACCUUUCAAAUGAGGUCAAAUAUAGUCCAAAAAUGUAUUGUCCAAUAAAUGAUAUUAGAGUUCAAAGUUUUAAUCCAAUAACCGAAACACACACUAUUGCCAAGCAAUAGUGUGGGGAAAUGCCAGAGUCUUAGGAGUCCAAGGUAGCUUGACAACAAGGCUGGAUACAAUCUUGAUUCUUUAACAAGGUCCGUGACUAGGAACAAGGCAAACAGUGAUUCUUGGAACAAGAUCCAUGGUUAAAAACAAGGCAAGGCAAAUCUUGAAUACUUGAUCCGGGAAGCAAGGAACUGGGGUUGCGAAGUCCACACACGAUCUUACUCCUGAAGCUGCUCUGUUGACUCCGCAAAGAUUCUCCCGUGUCAGGCACCUAUAUUGGGGUCUCGUUUUCCCGCCAACAAUCUCUUUCCCUAGAGAACGGGAAGCGAAACCCAACUUUGUCCAGAUGCAAGACUCCUUAGAAUUUCCCAAGGGAAGCAGGUCUAAUCAGCCUGUUGUUUGGCAGCAAUCCGUAAACUCCUGAGAUUUUGUUCCCUCACUCCUCUGUCUGCAGAAUAGGACUGUCUCCUAGGGAACGGGGGCAAGGAAUGCCCAAGGUCUGUUUUACUGAGUUCUUGGGUACAAACAUCAACAUCCGGCAGGUGAAAAGAUUCCGGCUCUUGUUGAACCGGCGAAAACCCCAUGUUUUCGUCUUCAUCUGCCACGAUGGCACUAGGAACAGGACUACAAGGCCCAUGAGGCAUCACACGGAGUCAGCAAUGUUACACACAUUUAUAUAGAAACAAAACUUAUCUUGUUUCAGCAAACAUGUUCACAAUUACUGUGUUUGUGGCUAUAUUUGUUUGAGAUCGAUGUAGGGCAGCUGUGCCAAAAUUCAGGGAUGUCAUGGGUUUAGCACUUCACUGGUGUCAGAAAUGUAAUCAGCAUAAU